AAUUUCAUCUAAAGCUAAAUACCGGCUGGAGACCGAUAGCGCACAAGUAGAGUGAUCGAAAGAUGAAAAGCACUUUGGAAAGAGAGUUAAAAAGCACGUGAAAUUGUUGAAAGGGAAGCGCUUGCGACCAGACCUGCCCGUGGGCGAUCAACCRCCGUUCUCGGUGGUGCACUCGUCGGCGAGCAGGCCAGCAUCGGUUUGGGCGGUCGGACAAAGGRCUUGGGAAUGUAGCUCCCCUCGGGGAGUCUUAUAGCCCUCGGUGCAAUGCGGCCAGCCCGGAUCGAGGACCGCGCUUCGGCUAGGAUGCUGGCGUAAUAGUUGCAAGCGACCCGUCUUGAAACACGGACCAAGGAGUCUAACAUCUAUGCGAGUGUUUGGGUGUCAAACCCAUGCGCGCAAUGAAAGUGAACGGAGGUGAGAACCCGUUAGGGUGCAUCAUCGACCGAUUCUUUUUUCUUCGGAUGGGUUUGAGUACGAGCAUAAAUGUUGGGACCCGAAAGAUGGUGAACUAUGCCUGAAUAGGGUGAAGCCAGAGGAAACUCUGGUGGAGGCUCGCAGCGGUUCUGACGUGCAAAU
rnacentral:rRNA from 1 species